rnacentral:rRNA from 1 species
AGUGAACGCUGGCGGUAGGCCUAACACAUGCAAGUCGAACGGCAGCACAGUAAGAGCUUGCUCUUACGGGUGGCGAGUGGCGGACGGGUGAGGAAUACAUCGGAAUCUACUUUUUCGUGGGGGAUAACGUAGGGAGACUUACGCUAAUACCGCAUACGACCUACGGGUGAAAGCAGGGGAUCUUCGGACCUUGCGCGAUUGAAUGAGCCGAUGUCGGAUUAGCUAGUUGGCGGGGUAAAGGCCCACCAAGGCGACGAUCCGUAGCUGGUCUGAGAGGAUGAUCAGCCACACUGGAACUGAGACACGGUCCAGACUCCUACGGGAGGCAGCAGUGGGGAAUAUUGGACAGUGGGCGCAAGCCUGAUCCAGCCAUACCGCGUGGGUGAAGAAGGCCUUCGGGUUGUAAAGCCCUUUUGUUGGGAAAGAAAAGCAGCAGGUUAAUACCCCGCUGUUCUGACGGUACCCAAAGAAUAAGCACCGGCUAACUUCGU